GACGAACGCUGGCGGCGUGCUUAACACAUGCAAGUCGAACGGAAAGGCCCUGCUUUUGUGGGGUGCUCGAGUGGCGAACGGGUGAGUAACACGUGAGUAACCUGCCCUUGACUUUGGGAUAACUUCAGGAAACUGGGGCUAAUACCGGAUAGGAGCUCCUGCUGCAUGGUGGGGGUUGGAAAGUUUCGGCGGUUGGGGAUGGACUCGCGGCUUAUCAGCUUGUUGGUGGGGUAGUGGCUUACCAAGGCUUUGACGGGUAGCCGGCCUGAGAGGGUGGCCGGCCACAUUGGGACUGAGGUACGGCCCAGACUCCUACGGGAGGCAGCAGUGGGGAAUAUUGCACAGUGGGCGGAAGCCUGAUGCAGCAACGCCGCGUGCGGGAUGACGGCCUUCGGGUUGUAAACCGCUUUCGCCUGUGACGAAGCGUGAGUGACGGUAAUGGGUAAAGAAGCACCGGCUAACUACGUG
rnacentral:rRNA from 1 species